CUCUAAAAAACGUUGGGUUGUUUUUUCAACCCAACUGCUGGGUUGAGCCAGUUGGGUUAUUUUGUUGGGUUGUUUUAUCAGUGUUGGGUAGUUUUUGUGUAACCCAACUUGUUGGGUUAUAUGUUGGGUAAUUUUGAAGCAGAGCCAACUUAAUAGAUACAUAUAGCUGUUUCUCAAUAUUACUUUCUCUAGUCCACAAAAUGUAUUUUAAACAUAAGUUCAGGCGAGAAUAUAUAUGUAUAAUGUUCAAAUUUGCAGUCGGUUUGUAAAGUGAACGCCAAUUUUAAAGUUUAAUUUCAAAAAGUCGGAAUGUUACCGGCGCGACCACCGGGUGUCAGUGUUGUUCUUCCCCAGAGAGAACUUCUCCCUUCCCCCACACAGACACGUCAGACUCCUCCUGCCACAGCACGCUACCUGACGCGGGAAUUUAACAUCACUUCAGGAUUCAUAAACGGUUUUUCAUCGACUUAUCUUUGAUUUAUUUGAAGGAAAAGGUUUGUGUCAUUGUUUUUAAUCAUUUAAACUAUUUCUGAAUGCAAAAGUAUGCAAAAUGAUGGUUUACAAGACAUAACUCUUAUUAAAAGUUUUAUUAGCGUCCGUUGGCUAGUCUGUAAUGCUCAGUAAAUCUAUAUGCUUGCUUUUAAAUGAUUUAAAUAUUUCGUUUGAUCAAACGUUUUAUGAAAUAUGUCUAAAACACGGCUUGUUUUAAUAAUUUUAGAAACGUUAGAAUGUAACGUAUUCUAAUGGUUUAGAAAUUCAGUUUAAAACAGAUAACGUUAAUAUGAGGAAGAAACGUGUACGUUUUAAAUAAAUAAUCGUUUGUUGUAAAAGUUGAAAUCAAACUGAUGCUUUUAAUAUCAUGUUUAGAUCAUGAAACUUUAGCCUUGAGUUCACAGACAGGGUGUGAACUCUCAUUUGGUCUGUAAGUUACAGACAUUUUUAUCUUUUUCAAAUGUUUUUGAUGAUGCCCACUUAAAUCACAGUUUUGGCUCUUUUCCUCAGACCCUGAUGGAUAAAAGAUGGAUAUUUUUUUCCUGGAGAAGCUAAAACAAUGUCACUUUGAGGUUCUGAAACCAGCUUUUACAAAGUUAUUUACAGCUAUUUGAAACUUGGGCACUGCAUUUUACAGACAGAAUCCUGCAACUUCCCUGCCAAGAACCAGGAGCAUCAACAAAUCACCUACAGAACCCCAUGAUGAUAUUCCAACUCCUGUCUACAAAAGUGGGAAGAAAAUCUUAAGUUUAUGUUGGGACCAACAUGGUUGCAUUCUUCUGAGAGGCUGAGGUGACAAAACCAUUCCCAUUUGUCCUUGGAUUGGAAGAUGACGAUCUCUGCCAUCAAGCCUUCGUUGUUUUUGACAGACAGUCACUCCAGCAAUACACCCUCUUUGGUGAUGUUGACAUGUUUUAAACUUUUUUUAUGUUUUGGACAUUAAUUUUACUAAGCAGUGCACAUCAGUGUGGGUGUUUUUGAAGACUGUUGUUUACAAACUCCCAAGAACGGAAUCCCUUUCUAUAAGAAGUCUGUGUAGUUAUUUGUCAUGCUAGGGUGAUAACUCAUGUUGAUCAUAUAUUGACUGUUUGUGCAACUUAGUGUUGAUCUUAUGUGUUACAUUAACCAUUUCUUAUUACACGGUUCUCUAAAAUGCUAGAUUCUGAUUGGCCAGUUGAGACAUUCUACUACUGCUCAAAACUAAAAACUCUAAUGCUGCAAAUCAUUUUGACAGGUACAGUUUUUUAUUACACAAAAAUUAAAUAUCAAUGUCUAUUAAUUACAUAUCCGACAUUAAAUUUACAAAUGAAUAAACCAAUGUGUUUGUGACAUUUGUCCUGAAGAAACUGUUGGGGCUUUUUUCUGUGAUGACAUGCUGCCAAUACAUUAUCCCUUACUUGUACAACUUUUUACUUGAUGUAAUUGUAAUGUUAACCGGGUAUCUGUCAUUUUAGAUUGUGAGAUAUAAUACUAAUAUAUUUUUUUUAUUAGAAAGUUGAUUGUUUGUGUAGGGCUAUGUACUCUUUUAUUGUUC